rnacentral:tRNA from 2 species
GCCCCCAUCGUCUAGGGGACAGGACAUCGCCCUUUCACGGCGGCGACAGGGGUUCAAAUCCCCUUGGGGGCACCA